rnacentral:lncRNA from 1 species
AACACUAAGCCUCUCUAAUGUUUGUGUGGUUCUUAUGUAUUAUACAGAAAAGAAUUAAAUACAUAAGGCUAUGUUCUCCCUAGGACCAACAUCAGCCUAUGAACUAUUCACUUUGGAGGUGAUUUUCCUGGAUACUUUGUCAGUCUGAAUACAGAACACAAUCUUCCUCAAAAAGUCUACCUCAGAAGCCAUUUUAAAGGUACAGAUGUACACCCAUCUUGGGAACAAUUCCUGCCUUGUCUGGAAAUAGCUUUGGGGAUGAAGCCUGAUGUAAUGUAGCAAUUCUCAAAGUUUGGCCUGAGGAACCCUGCAGGACUUUGAGACCCUUUCAAGUAUUUUCAAAACGAUUCUCAUAAAAAUGGUAUGCACUUGUUUGCCAUCAAACUGAGGAAAAGACAGAAAAUCUGUCUGUGACUCAAUCAUCUCCCUGAAGCAAAUGACAGUUCUGGUUCACUCUGCAGUGUCAUGGGCCACAUGUAGCCUGUGCCCUGUGCUUGAUACCUCUGGUUAUAGAGAGUUCCUUUGAUGUUCUACCAAUGCAAGUCAGCACCUUUUCA